rnacentral:rRNA from 1 species
AGCGAACGCUGGCGGCAGGCCUAACACAUGCAAGUCGAACGGAUCCUUCGGGAUUAGAGGACGACGGGUGAGUAACACGUGGGAACGUGCCCAUAGGUUCGGAACAACUCAAGGACACUGGAGCAAAUACCGGAUAUGCCCUUCGGGGGCACGAUUUAUCGCCAUUGGAGCGGCCCGCGUCUUAUAAGCUCGUUGGUUAGGUAACGGCCCACCAAGGCGACGAGCAGUAGCUGGUCUGAGAGGAUGAUCAGCCACACUGGUACUGAGACACGGCCCAGACUCCUACGGGAGGCAGCAGUGGGGAAUCUGGCGCAAUGGGCGAGAGCCUAACGCAGCCAUGCCGCGUGAAGGACGAAGGUCUUAGGAGGGUAAAAUUCUUUCAGCGGUGACGAUAAUGACGGUACCCGCAGAAUAAGCUCCGGCUAACUUCGUG